AGCUUUGCGCAGAGGCGAUAUCGUAACAAUGAGGUAUAACCGAGGUGCGAUUAUUGCUAUUUGAAAUGUAUAAUACAGAAAGGAUUAGAUUGCAAUUUAGUUGGGUUUCAUUCAAUAUCAGUAUUUUGAACUGUCAG
rnacentral:snRNA from 2 species